GAGCGGUAUAGAGAAGCUUGCUUCUCUUGAGAGCGGCGGACGGGUGAGUAAUGCCUAGGAAUCUGCCUGGUAGUGGGGGAUAACGUUCGGAAACGGACGCUAAUACCGCAUACGUCCUACGGGAGAAAGCAGGGGACCUUCGGGCCUUGCGCUAUCAGAUGAGCCUAGGUCGGAUUAGCUAGUUGGUGGGGUAAUGGCUCACCAAGGCGACGAUCCGUAACUGGUCUGAGAGGAUGAUCAGUCACACUGGAACUGAUACACGGUCCAGACUCCUACGGGAGGCAGCAGUGGGGAAUAUUGGACAAUGGGCGAAAGCCUGAUCCAGCCAUGCCGCGUGUGUGAAGAAGGUCUUCGGAUUGUAAAGCACUUUAAGUUGGGAGGAAGGGUUGUACAUUAAUACUCUGCAAUUUUGACGUUACCGACAGAAUAAGCACCGGCUAACUCUGUG
rnacentral:rRNA from 1 species